rnacentral:lncRNA from 1 species
UUUUUUUUUUUUUUUUUAAGACAGUCUCACUGUGUGGCCAGGCUGUAGUACAGUGGCACGAUCUCGGCUCACUGCAACCUCUGCCUCCCGGGUUCAAGCGAUUCUCCUGCCUCCCCCUCUCAAGUAGCUGGGAUUGCAGGCACGCAACACAAUGCCCAGCUAAUUUUUGUGUUUUUAGUAGAGACGUGGUUUCACCAUGUUGGCCAGGAUGAUCUCGAUCUCUUGACCUCGUGAUCCACCCACCUCAGCCUCCCAAAGUGCUGGGAUUACAGGCAUGAGCCACCGCUCCCGGCCUGUGCAAUCUUUUGGAGUUUGUUGCAACCUGUGAUGCCGGGGUGCCCACCCUCCCUCCUCCGGGAUCCAGCCAGGGGCUAACAGCCCUCACCUGCCACUCCCUUUGCACAGCCCGGAGCCAGCUGUGUGGAGUCUGCCAUUCCUAGACCGGCGGAGGACUGAUUCAACUCCUGCCAAAGCUCCCUGAGUCCUAGCCCCAAGCUUUUUCUCGCCGCGCCCACAAAGCCCUUGCUGGAUGCCCCUCUCUCAUGCACUCACACCUCACUAAGAUUUGAUUUUAUUUUUCACCACCACGCCUAAGCUCUUAGGGCUUCUGACUUCAUAUUUUAUCUCCUUGGUGGCUCGUCAGAGAGAAGAAAGAGGAGUGCAGGAGAGCGAUCCGAAAUAAUGACAGAAAGAAAGGGGGAAGAUCACAUAUGACUCUAAGACUCCCAGCUAGCUCCUUCUUCCUAAUGACCUAGUGGGGAAAUUUAAUUAAGAAGAUCCAUCAGUCAAGUUUCUGGAGGGCCUCUGGAAUUCUCCAAGGAUCUCCAAGGACUUGAGAAAUGUUUCGAAAUAGAAAAUUAACAAUUAUGGAAUCAUUCAAAAAACAAAACAAAACAAACACUGAAAUGACCUCUGGCCUAGAUAGUCCUAUUUGCUUUGGUACCCCAAAUGUCCUACAUGCAGAUGUACAUGCACACCAGCUCCACACAAACCUGAAGAUGCCAGGGACUGGGCCCACCC